rnacentral:tRNA from 1 species
UGGAAAAGUGGCAGAGAGGUCGAAUGCACCGGUUUUGAAAACCGACGUAGUUAAUCCUACCGGGGGUUCGAAUCCCUCCUUUUCCGU